rnacentral:lncRNA from 1 species
CCCAUCGCCCCCGUUUCUCUUGGAAGCCGCUCGUUUGCGGAGAAUUCACUUUUGUUGUGUUAUGUUUGGGGGAAAAAUUAAAUAGAGAGGCUGAGAUUGCUGAGGAGAAAGUAAGGUAUGCAGCAACAGCACCAGUCGGGUCUGAUACUUUUCUGAUCUGCUUUAAAAACGUGCCACGACAAAUAUUGCUGCGAAUCGAUCUGGAGGACAAUGGGUGAGCAAGCACACGUGAAAGGCAAUGACGGGGGAGCGGCCGCUCUGCAGUUCCAGCAGACCAGAAGAAAUCCAGGAGCAAAAUCGAAGCCUCAGCGCAGGAGGCAUGGCCGGACUCCUUUACAUCACUUGAUAUCGUGCAGUGUAGGAAGCACAGAAAGCCACUGCGAAGCCUCUCCUGAGAGGAAGGCUCCCAGCACAACACCUUGCUGGCCACCGCGUGAAUGGCCAGCGUGCAGCUAGAAGAGCAACAGCAAGAACAGACCCAAAAUGAAGACAGCACCAGCUAAAUUAAGAACACCAGAACAGCCGUAACAGGCUGGGCUGAGGGUCCACCUAGCCCAAGAGCUUGGCUCUGGCAACGACCCGCAGAAGACGCUUGGGAGAGGACGAGGAACGGGUUUGUUCCCCGCCUAAGGUCGCCGGCUGUGCUGGGGCCACACCUGGACGACGCUGCCCGUGCUGCAGACGUGAGCCUGGCAGCCCCAUGGUCUGGUGAAGGCAGCUCCAACCCGACACCCAGAUCAAUGCCCGCUUGGCCCCUCCGAGGGCCCGGGGUGUACUGACAGCGACUGCAAGGAUGGCGGCCAGCGUAUGCGUGUGCAGCUAGUCACAGCAAUUUGGGGCAGCGUACUGCACAGGGUAAACAAGAAUUUAUCAUUAUUCCACGCUGCCUCACUAUUUGGUACUAUGCAUAUGCUGCUGGAUGCGUUAUCUCUGUGGCAUACGUCUUCCUUCACGAGGGACUCUUUUUCUUUGUGAUUAUGGAGAUAACACGUAGCCUGUAAUGACAUCACAGUAGAAUUCAAAGUCCCCAGAAACAAUUAGGGAAAGGGUACCAACAUCUCUUUUACAGUCAUAACAUCAUAUGGCUUCCACUGGGACAACAGGCUACUUCCUGGAGUCCUGUAAUGCUCUCAGCACCUCACCAUCAUCUGUUGAGGGCUACGCGGUUGCAUCUUGUGAAUGUUUUAUUUUCUAGAUGUUUCAUAUUUAUUCUCCUCUUCAGUAAAUAACUGAAAUUGCUCAACAGCAUAAUGCAGUGUUGAUCGCAAACUUGCAUAAGCAGAAA